rnacentral:rRNA from 1 species
CGGCAGGCCUAACACAUGCAAGUCGAGCGCCCUACUUCGGUAGGGAGCGGCGGACGGGUGAGUAACGCGUGGGAACGUGCCCUUUAGUUCAGAAUAGCCACUGGAAACGGUGAGUAAUACUGAAUACGCCCUUCGGGGGAAAGAUUUAUCGCUAAAGGAUCGGCCCGCGUUGGAUUAGCUAGUUGGUGGGGUAAAGGCCUACCAAGGCAACGAUCUAUAGCUGGCCUGAGAGGAUGAUCAGCCACACUGGGACUGAGACACGGCCCAGACUCCUACGGGAGGCAGCAGUGGGGAAUAUUGGACAAUGGGGACAACCCUGAUCCAGCCAUGCCGCGUGAGUGAAGAAGGCCCUAGGGUUGUAAAGCUCUUUCAGAUGUGAGGAUGAUGACAGUAGCAUCAGAAGAAGCACCGGCUAACUUCGUGCCAGCAGCCGCGGUAAUACGAAGGGUGCUAGCGUUGUUCGGAAUUACUGGGCGUAAAGGGCGUGUAGGCGGAUGAUCAAGCUAGAGGUGAAAGCCCAGGGCCUAACCCUGGAACUGCCUUUAGAACUGAUUGUCUAGAAUCCGUAAGGGGAGUGUGGAAUUCCUAGUGUAGAGGUGAAAUUCGUAGAUAUUAGGAAGAACACCAGUGGGCGAAGGCGGCACUCUGGUACGGUAUUGACGCUGAGGCGCGAAAGCGUGGGGAGCAAACAGGAUUAGAUACCCCUGGUWGUCCACGCCGUWAAACGAUGUUCUUGCUAGCCCGUUUUGGACACUUUAGUG